rnacentral:tRNA from 1 species
GGGGAUAUAGCUCAGUAGUAGAGCACUUGCCUAGCAUGUUUGAGAGCCUGGGUUCAAUUCCCAGUGCCA